UACGUAGGGCGCGAGCGUUAUCCGGAAUUAUUGGGCGUAAAGAGCUCGUAGGCGGUUUGUCGCGUCUGCCGUGAAAGUCCGGGGCUUAACCCCGGAUCUGCGGUGGGUACGGGCAGACUAGAGUGCAGCAGGGGAGACCGGAAUUCCUGGUGUAGCGGUGAAAUGCGCAGAUAUCAGGAGGAACACCGAUGGCGAAGGCAGGUCUCUGGGCUGUUUCUGACGCUGAGGUGCGAAAGCGUGGGUAGCAAACAGG
rnacentral:misc_RNA from 1 species